UACGUAGGUGGCAAGCGUUGUCCGGAUUUACUGGGCGUAAAGAGCGCGCAGGCGGUCGUUCAAGUCGAGUGUGAAAGCCCCCGGCUCAACUGGGGAGGGUCACUCGAUACUGAUCGACUCGAAGGCAGGAGAGGGAAGUGGAAUUCCCGGUGUAGUGGUGAAAUGCGUAGAUAUCGGGAGGAACACCAAUGGCGAAAGCAGCUUUCUGGGACGGUACUGACGCUGAGACGCGAAAGCGUGGGGAGCGAACAGG
rnacentral:rRNA from 1 species